CAACGAUGCUCUUGGAGGAUAGGGACAGAGACUGCGCGCCGCGCCACUCACUUUGUUCAGCAUCUGAAAGCCAAAAGCAAAGAGGAAAAUGAUAAUAAAACUAAAUGAUUCAGCUACCGAGCUGUAGCUAAGGGUCAGCCUUAUUUCUCCCAAAGCGACCCAGCAGCUAUGCUUACCUCGGGGUUAAUCUCCAUCGGCUUCAGCUGCAUCUUCGCGGAUGGCACCUGCAGACACAAACCCGAGGAGCCGAAAAAACAGCCGGUGGAGCCGCCCAGGCUGCUGUUAUAAAGCGCCGGCCUCGCUCACUGGGAAAGCCUGAGCAGGGGAGACAGGAGCAGAAACAAGCAGAGGAGGAAGGCCAAGAGGGCUCGAACUCCCCCAUGCACCGCACAGAAUGGUACAAGCCAAGCCCCCAAACCUUGCAGUCUCACUCGCCGAAGUGCUCCCCGGACUGGGCAUGGUAGCACGCACCUGUGAUUCCAGCAGCUGAGAGAGAGGCCAAGCCCACAUGGAAUCCAUUGUGCAGUGCUAGAGGAGGUCAGAAGAGGGCAUUGGAUCCCCCAGAACUGGAGUUAUACGGUAACCUCAUGGUGGUUGUGAGCCAUCUCUUUAGCUCCAGUCUCUUAAAAAACAAACAAGCGAACGAACAGCAAGGGAGCUGGGUAUGACAACACACACUAUAAUUCUAGUACUCAGGAUGCUGAAACAGGAGGAUUGCCUGACUGGGAGAUAUAAGGAGAAUCUGUUGUCACCCCUACCCCUCCCCAUAAAGGCAGAAUAAAAGAACGUCCUAUAAACAAAUAAACAAACAACCCAAUAAAACAAAACCAAGAUCUCUCCACCUUUUCUUUGCUUUUUCAGACUUUGUAAUGAGGCCCUUUAGAGUGCAGGAUAUUCGGCAGGACAAGCAGAGAGGGAGACCAUCAGUUCUUUCUUUGAUCAAGAAGACUACGCUCCUUAGCAAACUGGCGUGUAUUAUCUCUUAUGCGAUGAGCCUGGAAAGAGGGCACAGCCACCGAGGAUGGUACAGCAUGGAUGGAUGGUACCCUACAGAGACUCGGGAGCCCAACUGUGAAUGGCUGAUUGGCAUGGUAGGUUCAGGGAAGAAUUGGCCUGGGAAGAAAAUGAUCUUGAAAAGUGGACAAGGUGCAGGAGGUAGGAGUGGGUCCUGGGCAAAGCAGGGGGCACAUCCCAGCCUCAGGGAAUAGCACAGCAGAGGUCUGUUGAUGCAUGCGAGCCCAUGACCUGCUUGCCAAUGGGCAAUCAAGAAUGGGCAAAGCAUCAUGGGUGAUGAGUGAGAGAGGGGAUGAGACAUUCCUUUCUCCCUGCUGAGACUUCCAUUGAACCGAUGAGUUCUGAAUAGUGAGGUUCUGAAUAGAAGAUGUCCCCCCACCCCGCCCCACCAGUGUAGAAUCUGAAGGGAGGCAUAUAUUACCCUAUACUACUCUGUGUUGGCGGGGAGCUAUCUGACAGCCAACCUUCCCAUACAUUUCAUUGGGCAUACACUAAUGACAGGAAGUUCCUUUCGCUUGUAUGCAAGAGAUGGCUCACACGAUGGAGAAUUUAAUCUUGUUAGUUUGUUAUUUAUGUGUCCUAAAUUUUGUUCAAUAAAAAUGAAACACUCCUAUG
rnacentral:lncRNA from 1 species